rnacentral:rRNA from 1 species
GAUCCCAUCCCGAACUCGGCCGUGAAACGCUCCAGCGCCUAUGAUACUUCGUCUCAAGACGCGGGAAAGUCGGUCGCCGCCAGGU